rnacentral:rRNA from 1 species
AUGGCCUUCCCCCUCCCUCACUUUUACUCCCUCCUGGCCGCCGCCGCCGCUCCUCCUCUUCCUCCUCUCUCCCGUAGCAGAUCCACCUCCCCUUCCUUUUAUUCAUCCUCCACGCGACCAUCGACGAUGCGUGGUUCUAGAUCGGACGUCUCCAUGGAGAGCAGGGAUGAAGAAGCAGUACAGGCCUGCGGUGGGGCGACCCGAACCGAGGAGAACUCGGCGACAGGGAAAAGAAGCAGCAGUGGCAGCGCUUGUCUCGGUGGGGGUGGAGCUGCUCGGAAGAUGGAAGGGGACUGUCGACUUGCGGGACGAGCAGGCCGGCCCUUGUUCGCCCUAGAGACACUUCCGACGCCGCAAGCCAGGGCAGCUCGACCACAGGAGCAGUAA